UACGUAGGGGCCGAGCGUUGUCCGGAGUUAUUGGGCGUAAAGCGCGCGCAGGCGGCUUCGCGCGUCCGACGUGAAAGCCCCCGGCUUAACCGGGGAGGGUCGUUGGGUACGGCGGAGCUUGAGGGCGGGAGAGGGUGGUGGAAUUCCCGGUGUAGUGGUGAAAUUCGUAGAGAUCGGGAGGAACACCUGUGGCGAAGGCGGCCACCUGGGCCGACCCUGACGCUGAGGCGCGAAAAGCGUGGGGAGCAAACAGGG
rnacentral:rRNA from 1 species